GAGGAGAGGCACAAUCUUUUGUCAGUGCACAUGACUUGUACGGAAAAAAAAGCUUUUUCUUAAAAUAACCACAUACCCUGUGACUCUCUGUGUUAUUUUCCUGGUGGUCAUGGGGUCUGUCCCCUCACCACUACAGCCUGGGUUCACACCCUGGAAAAGAUUUCUUAUUUCGGUGAAGCUUCUCUUGUACAUACAUUCGAGUUUCAGUAAUGUUACAGCUGCAAUCAAUGAUUCUUUCACUGGUAAAUAGAAAUUUCAUCAUGUUAUUGCACAUUUAUGUGAGCCUACCCUAGUUUUAAAGUGUCUGCCCUGAGCGCUGUUAGUGCCAUAGCCACUCUGUAGCUCUGAAUCCCAUACCCCUCCAAAAGCCUCUUUUGGGGUGAAGGUAAGUGCUCGGGGUGGAGGAGACUGUGCUGCUAACAGACACCGUGGAGCUGGUUAAGCACACAAAUGCAUUCAAACCAGCUCGGUUCCUGUGGUUCAGAACUACCUUAAUAUUUAGUUGGUGUUCCUGGGAGGCUCUGGGAUCAAAAUACUCACUGUGUUUACAAUGACACAUUUACCCUUGGCUCACACUGGCGUGAAACCAGGUCCCACGUGGUAUUUCUCUUCAAUGAGGGGCACUGGUGACCUGCUGGGACCAGGGACUUUAUCACCUUGCCACGUCUCUGUCUUUGUAUAUAUUUCUGGUCACAGUGGCACCUCGGUCUCUGCCUCCAGCACUCCUCAGCAUUGUCCCCUCAAGGAUGAAAAUGCCUUGGUCUUGCCAAAGAAGCUGCUAUCAACAUACACACGUGAACUGCAGCUCUUGCAGUGUGUAAGGAAGGGCACAAGCACGCAACACAAAGUAAGGAAACACGAACAGUGA
rnacentral:lncRNA from 1 species